rnacentral:lncRNA from 1 species
CCAAGUGGCGACUCUGAAAAUCUCUUAAAUAAUUGAAUACCAUUUUGAUUGUCCUUUAAUUGGAAUCCCUUAUCUGUGCCCUUCGCCGGGUGUAGUGUUAAAAAUGAGGUGUGACAGCUCUGGCGACUCUGCUGGGGAAUUGAGCCCAGAAUCUCUGGUUCAGGGUUCAAGAAUUCGAGCUUUAAAUAAUUGUUGUAUCUGGCUUUAUCAUUAUCUGAUUUUAUUGCAUAAUUGUGCCCGAUGUGCUAAUUGUUAUUUUUUACCGUUUUAAUAUUAUUUGAAUUGUGUAUAAACUGCCGCGAAGCCGUUCUCUUCUAAUUUUCGGGGAUGUGCUCGCUGGUCGAGACUCCCUAUUCUGUUAGUGUCAUACCUUGUAAUAAGAAAGAUGCUCGGACAAGUUACAA